CCUACGGGAGGCAGCAGUGAGGAAUAUUGGUCAAUGGACGAGAGUCUGAACCAGCCAAGUAGCGUGAAGGAUGACUGCCCUAUGGGUUGUAAACUUCUUUUAUAUGGGAAUAAAACGUUCCACGUGUGGGAUUUUGUAUGUACCAUAUGAAUAAGGAUCGGCUAACUCCGUGCCAGCAGCCGCGGUAAUACGGAGGAUCCGAGCGUUAUCCGGAUUUAUUGGGUUUAAAGGGAGCGUAGGUGGAUUGUUAAGUCAGUUGUGAAAGUGUGCGGCUCAACCGUAAAAUUGCAGUUGAAACUGGCAGUCUUGAGUACAGUAGAGGUGGGCGGAAUUCGUGGUGUAGCGGUGAAAUGCUUAGAUAUCACGAAGAACUCCGAUUGCGAAGGCAGUUCACUGGACUGCAACUGACACUGAGGCUCGAAAGUGUGGGUAUCAAACAGGAUUAGAUACCCUAGUAGUC
rnacentral:rRNA from 1 species